CGGAGAGGAGGAUGAAAAUGUAAGACCUAUUUGUAAAUAAAUAAAUAAAAAUAUUCUUGAUAGAAACUUCCAAUAGAAUCAGGCAGGGUCAGCAAAUCACAACAAAACCUCACAUUCCAAGCUCUAACAAAAAGGAAGUUUCUCAAACACAGAAGAAGAAGAAGAAGAAAACCAUGUUACAAUGCCUUGAGCUUUUCUCUGCUGUCAUCUUAACAUUUUUAUUUCAAACAAAAAGAAAGAAGAAAAGAAAAGAAAAAAGAAAAACAGAAAAUGACAGACAUAAAAUGCAGCAGCAGGAGGCAGGAGCAGACUCAUGAUGCAUACGGUAGUUCAAGCCGAUUUGGUUGCCAGCGGCGCCUUGUUCUUCGCCGGAGAAGUGGCGGCGAGAGGAGAGUCUUUGAUCUCUUGGUGGGUCUGAAUGCGUGAGGCUUGGGCGGCAGCGGCGGUUCCGGUUUCUUCGGUGAUGAUUUGUGUGAAGUCAAAGGGCUUAGUGAGGUCGGCGGCGGCGAAGAGGUCCGGCGGAAGGGCUUGGGAGGGUUGGCGUCGAUGACGGGACAUGGUUACUUCUUGUUCGUACUACCAAUGAGUCUGAGAGGAAAGGAGAGAGUGGAUGUGAAAGAGUGAACAUGACAAUAAAUGUGAAUGUGAUUGGGAUUUUAUGGGGAUGGCAAACAAACUGGUUUGGUUG
rnacentral:lncRNA from 1 species